AAUCUUAAUGUCUGUACACGCUAAAAAGGCAAAUCACAAAUGGGAUUACAGAUUUUUGUUCAAUCCUUGCAGAUGAUUUAAAAUCUUCUUUAUGUUAAAAGCAAUGUUUGUACUAAUUAAACUGGAAUUUCAUGUAAAUGUCACAUCUGACUAGACUCAACACUAGUAAAUGUAGUCAAGCACAAGUAAGCACAAAUAAUUAAUCAGAGCGUACUUAUGAAUACUGAUUUAAGAAGAGUGUCAAAAAGUUGUAAAAACUAACUUUGUUGGUCUACAUAGUAAAAAUAAAUAAAUGUCUCCAACAGGGAAAACAGACCAUUAUCAGAAUGGAUUCAAUGGAAAUUGAUGACAGCUUUUAUAUAAAUAAGAACCUCACAAUGGAAGGCCUCGUUACCAAAGUAGAUUUCCAGAGAAGAAAGCAGCCCUCUAGAUGUGUGACCGUGUGUCUGGGGUUACUGUGUGCUGUCCUGUUGGCUGGUAACAUAGGACAGCUUAUCUACUAUGAGAUAAUCAGCCGUCUCACGUCAGCAGACC